CAGUCGCCGCGGUAAUACGAAGGGUGCAAGCGUUAUCCGGAAUUAUUGGGCGUAAAGAGCUCGUAGGCGGUUUGUCGCGUCUGCCGUGAAAGUCCGGGGCUCAACCCCGGAUCUGCGGUGGGUACGGGCAGACUAGAGUGAUGUAGGGGAGACUGGAAUUCCUGGUGUAGCGGUGAAAUGCGCAGAUAUCAGGAGGAACACCGAUGGCGAAGGCAGGUCUCUGGGCAUUAACUGACGCUGAGGAGCGAAAGCAUGGGGAGCGAACAGGAUUAGAUACCCGCGUAGUCCCUGUCUCUUAUAU
rnacentral:rRNA from 1 species